rnacentral:rRNA from 1 species
UACGGAGGGAGCUAGCGUUGUUCGGAAAUACUGGGCGUAAAGCGCACGUAGGCGGCGCAGCAAGUCAGGGGUGAAAUCCCGGGGCUCAACCCCGGAACUGCCCUUGAAACUGCAGUGCUAGAAUCUUGGAGAGGCGAGUGGAAUUCCGAGUGUAGAGGUGAAAUUCGUAGAUAUUCGGAAGAACACCAGUGGCGAAGGCGACUCGCUGGACAAGUAUUGACGCUGAGGUGCGAAAGCGUGGGGGAGCAAACAGGG